CAACUUCCACCUGGCAUACCUCUUCAGUUAUGCGUCAAGGCUUGUAUCGCCCGGAGCGUAUUGUGGGUUUCCUGUGUUGCUUACCUGAUUGACGGUAUCUUUUCGAUCAAUGGAAGUCCCUUUUCGUUGUGUGUCACAUUUGUAAUGCAUGAUGAACCUUGAAGCGGUCCCUUUGAUCCAUUCUGUUAAUGCACAUGUAUUGAUGGACUGGCCCAUUGAGUUUUGCUUGGUCUAUCGGAUACGGAACAUGAUGUGGGCAUGGGUUCUCUAAUGAUCCUUGUUUUGCCCUUUUUAGGUGUUCUCUAGAACGACAGUUCAUGCGUGCCUAGGCUCGUACCUGCACGAUGUUCUAUGUCGAAGAGGAAUGCUACCUGGUUGAUCCUGCCAGUAGUCAUAUGCUUGUCUCAAAGAUUAAGCCAUGCAUGUGUAAGU
rnacentral:misc_RNA from 1 species